AGAAUAGGUUAUAAUUUGGACUGUUUGUUUUCAAAACAUGAGGUGAUAUGUAUAUUUAUCUUCUG
rnacentral:tRNA from 1 species